UGAGGUGAUAUCAGACUUGGUAUUUU
rnacentral:piRNA from 1 species